AUUUUGACUGUGCAAAGGUAGCAUAAUCAUUAGUCUUUUAAUUGGGGACUGGUAUGAAUGGUUUAACGAAGUAUUAACUGUCUCAUUUUAAUAAAUUGAAAUUAACUUUUGAGUCAAAAGGCUUAAAUGAAGUUAGAGGACGAGAAGACCCUAUAGAGCUUUAUAAAUUUAAUAUAAAAUGUAAUUUGGGGGUUUAUUUAAUUUAGGUAAAAAAUUUAUUUUAUUGGGGUGAUAUGAAGAUUUAAUAAACUCUUUAUAAUAAUUGAACACUAAUGAGUGAAUAAUUGAUCCAUUUUUAGUGAUUAUAAGAUUAAGUUACCUUAGGGAUAACAGCGUAAUGUUUUUUGAGAGUUCUUAUCAACAAAAAAGAUUGCGACCUCGAUGUUGGAUUAAGGAAAAAGUUGGG
rnacentral:rRNA from 1 species